CUGACCUCAGAUGAUCCACCUGCCUUGGCUUCCCAAAGUGCUGGGAUUACAGGCAUGAGCUACCAUGCCUGGCCGGUGCUGAAUUUUAAUUCCACAACCAGCUGGGCUACCCUUGGUAAUACACUCAGUAAUCAUUACCCUCCCCCUUACCAACCACUCACUUGAUCACUCAACACAUAGAGUCUCCUUCAUUCCUAAUGUAGACUAGAGAGCAGAGAUAACAGUGGAGAGCAAAGGCAACAUGGUCCCUGCCCUCACGAAGUUUAUAGUCUAGUGGGGAAGACAAACAUUAUUCAGAGAGUUACAUACAAAUAUAAAACUAUACUGUGACAAAUGCCACAAGGGAAAGGUGCAGAGUUUGAUGACCCCAGGACCAGGAAUUGACCGAGUCAGGGAGGUCAAGGAAGGCUUCCCUAAGGAAGUGGUGCAGAGCUGAGAUCGGAAGAAGCAGGGACGUGCUCCACAGGAAGAACAUGCUCAGAAGCCCAGUCAGCAGCAGGAAGGAGUGUGGUGAUUUUGAGGAACUGAAAGAAGACCAGCAUGGCUGGAGAACAGAGGAUGGGGGUGUGAUAUGUGACGAGCGAAGAGAAGUCAUCCAUACUUCAUUUACCAGUCCUUGCUAUUGAUUAUUCAUUAAAACAAACAACAGCAACAGUAACCACAACAGCAGCAAUAAAAAUACCUUUGAACUCACUCAAUUUUGAACUAUUAAACAUGUUAAGUCCAUGUCAUUGGCCUACUUAAUCAACCCUUGGUUGUAACUUGAAGCCGCUUACUGCUAAGAAAAUAAACUUCUCAUAAAGUAUAA